AUAAAUAGCUGCUUAUGGGUUGUGAUGAAGGAGGUGAAAAAAGCAGCCCAUCUAUGGUUUAGUUAGUGGAAGAUGGGUAGAUAGAUCUAUCAACAACCAAUGAAGAAUCAUUGAAUUUUGGUGGCCAUUGAAGUCACUUUGAGGAAAGCUUGUCAAAGUUGGUUAAUGGAUAGUGACUGAAUGUCAAAUUGUGCAACUAUUUAAAACGGAGGAAGUAUGACGCUUUUGCUUGUGUUCUGAGGUCAAGUAGAACGAUUGGUCGUGGAUGGGAUGGAUGACCUGAUCAUUGAAAACAUACAAGUUAUUUCUUUCCAAAACCUCCUUAUUGAUGUUGGUAAAUAUAACGCAGAUUUGGUGUUGAAUUCAGUGAGAUUUAAAGUUUUAUGAUUGCUAUGCUCAGAAAGGAACACGAAGCUCAAGUUUUAAAAGAAUUACAAAGUUUUGGCUUAACCAUUACCUGUUCUACAGGAGAACAAUACAUAUGUCGAAAUUCCUUAGAAUGUUUCCGCAAAUAAUCUUCCAACUUGGUUACAUCUUCUCUUCUAAAUAUGUCCCAAAGAGCAGCACCCUUUUCUGUUGAAACACUUGGCGUUAGAUCGAGGUCCUCUUUGUAAUUUACCACUUGUAAGCUCUGCAGUUCUGCUCGAUCUUGAGCUUUGUGUUUCUUUUUGAGCAUGUCAAUCGCCAUCAAUUGAUCCUCACUUAACGAAACAUCAGCAGUAUGCAUUAAGAUGUUUACCUGCAUCAAUGAAAUGGAUUUAGGAAAUGUCAAGAAUCAAGUCGAACAUCCAUAUGAGAUGUACCAGCCAACCUUGAGUUCAUCCAAACCAACAACAUAAAGGUGAUCAAGGGACCUCCUAAUGUUAAGGUUAAGAUUUAUUUUGCUUUCAUUUUAUGUCAACUUCUGCAGGAUUAUAAGUUGGAUCUUGAAUCUGGAAUUUACCCUAAAGAUUAAGUAUAUUGUGCAUAUUGUGCUUUGUUUCAUAUUAGAAAAUUGAAAAAAAUAUGACAUACCGCAUCUGACAUGUCACAAUGAAGCUUAGUCACAGAAUCUCCUCGUCCGAGCUCUUGAGUAGUCCCGUAAGCAAUGUAAGUCUUUGGUCCCAAAUCUGGUUUGAGGACGUUGGAAGGCAAAAGAGUAGCAAGGUUGAGGAUACCACCAGUAGGAUCUGUAUACUCUUGAAAGGGCAAAGCAGUGAUAAACUCAUCACAGUGUCUCGGCAAAAGAUUUUCAAACUUGUCAGAUGGAGGCCAGUCUUUUAGCUUCAACAUCAUAGGCCAGAAAUUGGUGCAUGCUCUACCUUGUUUAUAUCCCUUGAAAAAAUCCCUAGUACUGAUUUCUACCUGUAUGCAUUUCAAUUUCAGUUAGCAAUUAUGCAAGAGUCUAAUUCAUAACAUUAUAGAAGGCUAAUCCUCUCAGAAAGACACUAAUGGCACAUUUCCACAUGCA